UAUGCUUUUGCCAAGCAUCGAGUCGUCCACGUUUCUUUGCUCACGUUCACAUUUGAAUUAGUAGAUCCCUCGAUCAGAAGUGGCAGCAUUGCACAUUGAUACCGGAAAUAAAAGCAGGAUUGGAGGAGGGCCGCAUUUCUGAGAAAUUUAGGUCUUUUUUGUAGAACAAUCAUCCACGUCAAAUAACGGAAUUGUACAAAGACUAAAGAAGGAUGAUUUUUGACGAAAGACGAAAGUCGGGAGGAAAAUGCAAAAUGAAAUCAGCAACCCUCACACUUCCUACCGUGAGGGUUGUUGAACAUCUGUGGACCAAUGAAGAAAUCGUAUUUCAGAUUACAUAGGACGAUGACCGUGGUCGUCUAUCUACAUAUUAUCUGCAUUUUGCCCUUAUUUCUGUUUCCUAUGUUAUACUUAAUCUCAUUAAUUACCGAGUUUUACUAUUUCCUUGAAUUUGCGAUGUAAACCUAAUGAGUAGUAUUUAUAUCUUUAUACGAUGCAUAAUUUAUCUACGGAGCUUUUUAAAA